AUGAACGCUGGCGGCGUGCCUCAUACCUGCAAGUCGCGCGCACGGACGAGAAGCUUGCUUCUCUGAUGUUAGCGGCGGACGGGUGAGUAACACGUGGAUAACCUACCUAUAAGACUGGGAUAACUUCGGGAAACCGUAGCUAAUACCGGAUAAUAUUUUGAACCGCAUGGUUCAAAAGUGAAAGACGGUCUUGCUGUCACUUAUAGAUGGAUCCGCGCUGCAUUAGCUAGUUGGUAAGGUAACGGCUUACCAAGGCAACGAUGCAUAGCCGACCUGAGAGGGUGAUCGGCCACACUGGAACUGAGACACGGUCCAGACUCCUACGGGAGGCAGCAGUAGGGAAUCUUCCGCAAUGGGCGAAAGCCUGACGGAGCAACGCCGCGUGAGUGAUGAAGGUCUUCGGAUCGUAAAACUCUGUUAUUAGGGAAGAACAUAUGUGUAAGUAACUGUGCACAUCUUGACGGUACCUAAUCAGAAAGCCACGGCUAACUACGUG
rnacentral:rRNA from 1 species